rnacentral:rRNA from 1 species
GCCGCGUGCAGGAAGACGGCCCUAUGGGUUGUAAACUGCUUUUAUACAGGAAGAAACACUCGUACGUGUACGAGCUUGACGGUACUGUAAGAAUAAGGACCGGCUAACUCCGUGCCAGCAGCCGCGGUAAUACGGAGGGUCCGAGCGUUAUCCGGAAUCAUUGGGUUUAAAGGGUCCGCAGGCGGUCAAUUAAGUCAGAGGUGAAAUACCAUAGCUCAACUAUGGAACUGCCUUUGAUACUGGUUGACUUGAGUCAUAUGGAAGUAGAUAGAAUGUGUAGUGUAGCGGUGAAAUGCAUAGAGAUUACACAGAAUACCGAUUGCGAAGGCAGUCUACUACGUAUGUACUGACGCUGAGGGACGAAAGCGUGGGGAGCGAACAGGAUUAGAUACCCUGGUAGUCCACGCCGUAAACGAUGGAUACUAGUUGUUGGGCAUUA